CUUCCACAGGGUCACCUUAUUGUCUCUGCUUAAGACAGCAAGGGCGCUAGCUGUGAUAGAUCAGGCCGUGUCUGGCUCCAUGUAGCAACCUUGCAGUAACAUACUGCCCAGGUCCAGGUGUGACGUCAUUGCCAGGGUCUGUAAUGACCGGCCCUCAGUGGCCUCUUGCUGCAGCACAUUGCCUCACACACCAAGAAGCCACAGUUGCCCUUCAGGCCUGAUUCAAUGGCGUAUAAUGGUAUCUAACUCUGGCCUGUUGCCCUCUGGACUCAGAACUUAAGUUGUGGCCAGAAUCUUAGCUCUGAAGAUGGAGACGGGGAUCAGGUACCACACGGUCCGGAGUGCAGGAGCCAGUCUGAAUGUGUCCUGUCACUUGAUAGCAGACAGACACUCCUCAUGAGCUACUCAGGACUCCAGGCGCCAGGAAGGUAUAUGUGAGUCUUCAAGGACAAGCUCUUGAAGCUGUGACAACAACACAGUUUGGGAACAACAUAAAAUGGAAACCAGUGUGUUUAGCAUGCAUCCUUUAAAUGCUCAAUGACAAUCCUGCAUGUUUGCAUGGGAACAGAGCUGCUGAAAGAGCACCUGUCUUAGAGUCGAGCAGAGCUGGACCCAGCUUGUGGCCCUGAAGACUCUUCAGUUGUCUUAUCUGGAUGUUCUAUCCAUGUAUUUCAGCAAAACAUACUUUCUGGAAAGCUACUUGUGAAGAACAUGGAGAGGUCACAAGAAGAAAGACAGCUUGCAGUUAAAUAUGUUUGGAGUUGUUCUGUGGAACAAAAUCCUCCUGGCUUUUGAAUUGCAGGCUUCUCAGGGCCUUUGAGUGUUAAUGUGACUCUCAAAGAGGGAGAAAUGUAUAAAUUAAAAUGCAGCAAACAGCUAAAUGUUACCCAA